rnacentral:rRNA from 1 species
GAUUAAGUUAUUAAGGGCGCACGGUGGGUGCCUUGGCACUAGAAGCCGAUGAAGGACGUUACUAACGACGAUAUGCUUUGGGGAGCUGUAAGUAAGCUUUGAUCCAGAGAUUUCCGAAUGGGGAAACCCAGCAUGAGUUAUGUCAUGUUAUCGAUAUGUGAAUACAUAGCAUAUCAGAAGGCACACCCGGAGAACUGAAACAUCUUAGUACCCGGAGGAAGAAAAAGAAAAUUCGAUUCCCUUAGUAGCGGCGAGCGAAACGGGAAGAGCCCAAACCAACAAGCUUGCUUGUUGGGGUUGUAGGACACUCUAUACGGAGUUAACAAAGGACGACAUUAGACGAAUCAUCUAGGAAAGAUGAAUCAAAGAAGGUAAUAAUCCUGUAGUCGAAAAUGUUGUCUCUCUUGAGUGGAUCCUGAGUACGACGGAACACGUGAAAUUCCGUCGGAAUCUGGGAGGACCAUCUCCUAAGGCUAAAUACUCUCUAGUGACCGAUAGUGAACCAGUACCGUGAGGGAAAGGUGAAAAGCACCCCGGAAGGGGAGUGAAAUAGAACCUGAAACCGUGUGCUUACAAGUAGUCAGAGCCCGUUAAUGGGUGAUGGCGUGCCUUUUGUAGAAUGAACCGGCGAGUUACGAUUUGAUGCAAGGUUAAGCAGUAAAUGUGGAGCCGUAGCGAAAGCGAGUCUGAAUAGGGCGUUUAGUAUUUGGUCGUAGACCCGAAACCAGGUGAUCUACCCUUGGUCAGGUUGAAGUUUCAGGUAACACUGAAUGGAGGACCGAACCGACUUACGUUGAAAAGUGAGCGGAUGAACUGAGGGUAGCGGAGAAAUUCCAAUCGAACCUGGAGAUAGCUGGUUCUCUCCGAAAUAGCUUUAGGGCUAGCCUCAAGUGAUGAUUAUUGGAGGUAGAGCACUGUUUGGACGAGGGGCCCCUCUCGGGUUACCGAAUUCAGACAAACUCCGAAUGCCAAUUAAUUUAACUUGGGAGUCAGAACAUGGGUGAUAAGGUCCGUGUUCGAAAGGGAAACAGCCCAGACCACCAGCUAAGGUCCCAAAAUAUAUGUUAAGUGGAAAAGGAUGUGGCGUUGCCCAGACAACUAGGAUGUUGGCUUAGAAGCAGCCAUCAUUUAAAGAGUGCGUAAUAACUCACUAGUCGAGUGACACUGCGCCGAAAAUGUACCGGGGCUAAACAUAUUACCGAAGCUGUGGAUUGUCCUUUGGACAAUGGUAGGAGAGCGUUCUAAGGGCGUUGAAGCAUGAUCGUAAGGACAUGUGGAGCGCUUAGAAGUGAGAAUGCCGGUGUGAGUAGCGAAAGACGGGUGAGAAUCCCGUCCACCGAUUGACUAAGGUUUCCAGAGGAAGGCUCGUCCGCUCUGGGUUAGUCGGGUCCUAAGCUGAGGCCGACAGGCGUAGGCGAUGGAUAACAGGUUGAUAUUCCUGUACCACCUAUAAUCGUUUUAAUCGAUGGGGGGACGCAGUAGGAUAGGCGAAGCGUGCGAUUGGAUUGCACGUCUAAGCAGUAAGGCUGAGUAUUAGGCAAAUCCGGUACUCGUUAAGGCUGAGCUGUGAUGGGGAGAAGACAUUGUGUCUUCGAGUCGUUGAUUUCACACUGCCGAGAAAAGCCUCUAGAUAGAAAAUAGGUGCCCGUACCGCAAACCGACACAGGUAGUCAAGAUGAGAAUUCUAAGGUGAGCGAGCGAACUCUCGUUAAGGAACUCGGCAAAAUGACCCCGUAACUUCGGGAGAAGGGGUGCUCUUUAGGGUUAACGCCCAGAAGAGCCGCAGUGAAUAGGCCCAAGCGACUGUUUAUCAAAAAACACAGGUCUCUGCUAAACCGUAAGGUGAUGUAUAGGGGCUGACGCCUGCCCGGUGCUGGAAGGUUAAGAGGAGUGGUUAGCUUCUGCGAAGCUACGAAUCGAAGCCCCAGUAAACGGCGGCCGUAACUAUAACGGUCCUAAGGUAGCGAAAUUCCUUGUCGGGUAAGUUCCGACCCGCACGAAAGGCGUAACGAUUUGGGCACUGUCUCAACGAGAGACUCGGUGAAAUCAUAGUACCUGUGAAGAUGCAGGUUACCCGCGACAGGACGGAAAGACCCCGUGGAGCUUUACUGUAGCCUGAUAUUGAAAUUCGGCACAGCUUGUACAGGAUAGGUAGGAGCCUUUGAAACGUGAGCGCUAGCUUACGUGGAGGCGCUGGUGGGAUACUACCCUAGCUGUGUUGGCUUUCUAACCCGCACCACUUAUCGUGGUGGGAGACAGUGUCAGGCGGGCAGUUUGACUGGGGCGGUCGCCUCCUAAAAGGUAACGGAGGCGCUCAAAGGUUCCCUCAGAAUGGUUGGAAAUCAUUCAUAGAGUGUAAAGGCAUAAGGGAGCUUGACUGCGAGACCUACAAGUCGAGCAGGGUCGAAAGACGGACUUAGUGAUCCGGUGGUUCCGCAUGGAAGGGCCAUCGCUCAACGGAUAAAAGCUACCCCGGGGAUAACAGGCUUAUCUCCCCCAAGAGUUCACAUCGACGGGGAGGUUUGGCACCUCGAUGUCGGCUCAUCGCAUCCUGGGGCUGUAGUCGGUCCCAAGGGUUGGGCUGUUCGCCCAUUAAAGCGGUACGCGAGCUGGGUUCAGAACGUCGUGAGACAGUUCGGUCCCUAUCCGUCGUGGGCGUAGGAAAUUUGAGAGGAGCUGUCCUUAGUACGAGAGGACCGGGAUGGACAUACCUCUGGUGUACCAGUUGUCGUGCCAACGGCAUAGCUGGGUAGCUAUGUGUGGACGGGAUAAGUGCUGAAAGCAUCUAAGCAUGAAGCCCCCCUCAAGAUGAGAUUUCCCAACUUCGGUUAUAAGAUCCCUCAAAGAUGAUGAGGUUAAUAGGUUCGAGGUGGAAGCAUGGUGACAUGUGGAGCUGACGAAUACUAAUCGAUCGAAGACUUAAUCAA